rnacentral:rRNA from 1 species
AAUCAACGCUGGCGGCGUGCCUAAUACAUGCAAGUCGUACGCGAAGACCCCGCAAGGGGUUGUUAGCGUGGCAAACGGGUGAGUAACGCGUGGGCGACCUGCCCUCGAGUGGGGGAUAACCUUCCGAAAGGAGGGCUAAUACCGCAUGACAUACCGUGUUUGGAUACACGGAUAUCAAAGCCGGGGAUCGCAAGACCUGGCGCUUGGGGAGGGGCCUACGUUCGAUUAGCUAGUUGGUGGGGUAAUGGCUCACCAAGGCGACGAUCGAUAUCCGGCCUGAGAGGGCGGACGGACACACUGGGACUGAGACACGGCCCAGACUCCUACGGGAGGCAGCAGUAGGGAAUUGUUCGCAAUGGGCGCAAGCCUGACGACGCAACGCCGCGUGGAGGAUGAAGACCUUCGGGUCGUAAACUCCUUUCGACCGAGAUGAACAGCCAUCGACCUAAUACGUUGAUGGCCUGACAGUACCGAGGGAAGAAGCCCCGGCUAACUCCGUG